CGAGUACUGACUACUCAUGUCAACUAUAAAAAGAGAAAAAUGAAACUACAAGACACUAAAUUGAUACACUUUAGGGUGCGUUUGGUUUGAGUUAUCCUGGCAGGAUUACAGGCAAUCCUGCCAGGAUUACUGUGUUUGGUUCAUCCGCUAUGUAAUCUAGUUAUUAAUGUAGCAUUACAAAUCGAGCAGGAUUACACCGAAAAUAUUAACAAGAGGGGGGUCGUGUAUCUUACAUUACUGAAAACCUGUAUGUAACGACCCAGCCCACUAGCAACAAUAACUCGUUGGGCCCAACCACCGGCCCAAAAUGCUUAAGCCCAGUUAUUAUUACUAGUGUCUAAGUCUGUUAUAAACGCAAUGACAACCCCUUUCCCAUCUGAUGUGGGACUAUUGGGGUGUUACAGACUCCCCCCGUUAAGGCCCUGACGUCCUCGUCAGUCCAAUCACACACAGCCCAAGAUCACCAGGCGAUGUGAGACUCGUCUCACUAGCCCGUCAUCCAGACCCUGGCUCAGCCGAGACUCGCCACACAUGUCCAGCUGGUGAACCGGCUCUGAUACCAAAUGUAACGACCCAGCCCACUAGCAACAAUAACUCGUUGGGCCCAACCACCGGCCCAAAAUGCUUAAGCUCAGUUAUUAUUACUAGUGUCUAAGCCUGUUAUAAACCCAAUAACAACCCUUUUCCCAUCCGAUGUGGGACUAUUGGGGUGUUACACUGUAAUACUACAUAUUAUGUAAAAUGACAAUUUUACCCUCUAACUCUCGAAACCCUUUGAAUACGUUAUUUUAAAAAAAUUAAUUUAAAAUUUUGAAUUGUCAACUUUUAAUUUUUAAUUUUUAAGUUUUAAUUUAAAUUUUAAAUUUUAAAUUUUUAAAUUUUUAAUUUUAAACUUCAAAUUUAAAUUUCAAAUUUUAAAUUUAAAUUUUAGAUUUUAAAUUAUAAUUUUUAAAUUUUUUAUUUUAAAUUUCAAAUUUCAAAUUUUAAAUUUUAAAUUUUAAAUUUUAAAUUUUAAAUUUUAAAUUUUAAAUUUUAAAAUACAAAUUUGUAUUUUAAAUUUUGAAUUUUAAAUUUAUAUUUUAAUUUUUUAUUUUAUAUAUAUUUAUAUUUAAAUUUUAAAUUUUAAAUUUAGAAAUUUAUAUUUAUAUUUUAAAUUAAAAUAUUAAAUUUAUAUUUUAAAAUUUAAAAAAUUAAAUUAUUUAAAAUAAAAUUUGGUAAAAAAAAUAUUGUUUGUAAACAGUAAGAAAAAGUUUACGAAAUAUGACGAAGGGCAAUUUUGGAAUAGACUAUACUUUAUUGUCUAAAUUAUUAAAUUUUAUAGACAGAAUCAAACAUAGUAACGUUAUAAAUGCUGCAAUCCAACAUUACAUUAUUGUAUUAAACUAAAUGCACUAAUGCAUCGUCAGUAGUAAUCUCAUUUAGAAAUCCAAGAUACCUGGAUAUAUCAAAAUACUCUGUAAUAUUACAUAACUCGAAUCAAACGCUCCCUUAAGGGCAUGUUUACUUCACCGAAAGUGUAGUAUUGAAAGUGAUACUUUUAAAAAGUGACGUCUUAUCGGUUGUUUGGUUUACGAAAGUGAAUAUAAAAGUUACUUUACGAAAGUGGGCUGAUAAAGUGAGUUAUAAUUAAAUCUCACUUUUUUGACUUCGGCUCAAAAAAUUUGGAAGUCACCGAAAGUGGAGAGCUUAGCUAAGAGGUUAUAUUUGGUCUUAACUUUAAUAUUUAAAUUUAUUUUUAAAGUUUAAUUUCACUUUAAAUUUGAAUUAAAAUUAUGAUCACAUUUUGAAUUUUAUUUGUGAAUUAAAAUUCAACAUAAAAUUUUAAAUUCAAAUUUAUGUCUUUAUAUUUAAAUUUAAAAUUUAAAAUUUUAUUUUUAUUUAAAGUUGAAUUCUAGAAUUUAAAUUUAAAUUUUUAAAUUUUAAAUU
rnacentral:lncRNA from 1 species